ACUUUUACACUCCCUUUGUGUCCAUCAGACGACAGGCCUCCAGCAGAGGUCGUCUCCUCCAGCCUUAGACUCCACCCGGGCCUGGUCACCAUCUCUGAGGGAAGAGUCCAACUGGCUCUUCAUCAAGGAGGACAGCUGAGUCCUGGGGAGCCUCACGGAGCUUCUUCUCCAGAGGAGGAGCUCUUUAACCAGGCGGUCACCAUCCUGUCCUGCGUCUCCUACAGGAACCAGAUGCUGCACGUGUUCGUCGGUCCUGCGCUGGUGGCGUCAGCCAUGAACAUUUCCUCCUCCACGCAAAAAA